CUACACCACACUGGCUCAAAAGAAGCAGAGAGUAGAUUUGGCUCAAUUGCACACACUGCAUCUCUGUGUAAACUGUAUGCUCCAUGCGUAGUGAUGAGUUGCAUUAAUCCUUCAAGAUGGGAAAGAACACUCCACUCAGUGUAGCUGGCUUUUAUAUAACUGGUAGAGUUGGAAGAUGCCACAAAGCCAAUAAUUUCCACGACACAUUUUAAUCUUUCCUGAUAUUUAUGUAUUAUUUAUCUAAUUUAUUGCAUUUGUGUCCUUCCUUUCCUCCACAAAAGACAAGAUGGUGCACCUGAUCUCACCACACACACACACACACACACACACACACACACCCUUUUAUUCUUACACCAACUCUUGGAGAAAGGUUAGUCUGAGAAAUUGUAACUGACUCAAGGUCACACGGUAUGCCUCACAGCAGACCAGAGAUUCAAACCUGCCAUAGCUUCUUUCCUUCCCAUUCUUUUUUCCUUUUGUAUUAUGCCUUUUAGCCUGUGAACCUGAGGGUAGGGGGAUAUUUUGUUUUUUAAUCUCUCUGCAACAUUCAGGAAGUCUUUACAGAGCUCUGCAAUGCCAAUAAUGCCAAUGGUGGUAACAAGUGAAAUGACCCUAUUCUGAGUUUCAGCCAAUUGAGUCAGGACGUAUAACUAUACUUUCAUUCCAAUUUUGGUCUGCUAAGUACCUUUGAGCAAGUAACUUUUAUGAAUCAGCUUUCUACUUUUUUAAAAAUAUUUUAUUAAGGAUUUUCUUGUUUUACAGAAGUAAGUGUAAUGCCUCGUAUUUUUUUUUUCGUGUAACAUUUUUACAAAUCCGUUUCAUUUGUUGAGGCAUUAGGGGGAGAAG